rnacentral:rRNA from 1 species
UGGCGGCGUGCUUACACAUGCAAGUCGAACGAGAAAGCCUAAAGCUUGCUUUGGGCGAGUAAAGUGGCGCACGGGUGAGUAACGCGUGGGUAAUCUGCCUUUGAAUUCGGGAUAACACUUCGAAAGGCGUGCUAAUACCGGAUAACAUUCUAUUAACUGCGGUUAAUGGAAUCAAAGAUAGCCUCUACAUGUAAGCUAUUGUUUGGAGAUGAGCCCGCGUACCAUUAGCUUGUUGGUGGGGUAACGGCCUACCAAGGCUACGAUGGUUAGCUGGUCUGAGAGGAUGAUCAGCCACACUGGAACUGGAACACGGUCCAGACUCCUACGGGAGGCAGCAGUGAGGAAUUUUGCGCAAUGGGGGAAACCCUGACGCAGCAACGCCGCGUGAGUGAUGAAGGUUUUCGGAUCGUAAAGCUCUGUCAAGUGGGAAGAAGCUAUUAUAUGUUAACAGCAUAUAGUAUUGACGGUACCACUGAAGGAAGCACCGGCUAACUCCGUGCCAGCAGCCGCGGUAAUACGGAGGGUGCAAGCGUUAUUCGGAUUUACUGGGCGUAAAGGGCGCGUAGGCGGUCUGAUAAGUCAGUUGUGAAAGCCCGGGGCUCAACCCCGGAAGUGCAAUUGAAACUGUCAGGCUUGAGUAUGGUAGAGGGAAGUGGAAUUCCUGGUGUAGCGGUGAAAUGCGUAGAUAUCAGGAGGAACACCGGUGGCGAAGGCGACUUCCUGGACCAAUACUGACGCUGAGGCGCGAAGGUGUGGGGAGCAAACAGGAUUAGAUACCCUGGUAGUCCACACAGUAAACGGUGAUCACUAGGUGUUGCGGGUAUUGACCCCUGCAGUGCCGGAGCUAACGCAUUAAGUGAUCCGCCUGGGGAGUACGGUCGCAAGAUUAAACUCAAAGGAAUUGACGGGGGCCCGCACAAGCGGGGGAGCAUGUGGUUUAAUUCGACGCAACGCGAAAAACCUUACCUGGGGUUUGAAAUCUGGGGGAUUCUGCAAAAAUACGGAGUGCCUUUCGGGGACCCCAAANANGUGCUGCAUGGCUGUCGUCACUCGUGUCGUGAAAUGUGGGGUUAAUUCCCGAAAGAGCCCAACCCGG